rnacentral:rRNA from 1 species
ACGCUCGACACCUAGGGGGCAGCAGUUGGGAAUAUUGGACAAUGGAGGAAACUCUGAUCCAGUGACGCCGCGUGAAGGAAGAAGGUCUUCGGAUUGUAAACUUAUUUUGUCAGGGAAGAAAAAUGACUGUACCUGAAGAAAAAGCACCGGCUAACUACGUGCCCGCAGCCGCGGUAAUCUGAGCGGGCUGGCAAGGC